AUACGUAGGUGGCAAGCGUUGUCCGGAUUUACUGGGUGUAAAGGGCGUGUAGGCGGAGAUGCAAGUCAGGAGUGAAAUCUAGGGGCUCAACCCCUAAACUGCUUUUGAAACUGUAUCCCUUGAGUAUCGGAGAGGCAGGCGGAAUUCCUAGUGUAGCGGUGAAAUGCGUUGAUAUUAGGAGGAACACCAGUGGCGAAGGCGGCCUGCUGGACGAACACUGACGCUGAGGCGCGAAAGCGUGGGGAGCAAACAGGAUUAGAUAACCUGGUAGUCCACGCUGUAAACGAUGAAUACUAGGUGUGGGGGGAAUGACCCCAUCCGUGCCGCAGUUAACACAAUAAGUAUUCCACCUGGGGAGUACGAUCGCAAGAUUGAAACUCAAAGGAAUUGACUGGG
rnacentral:rRNA from 1 species